rnacentral:lncRNA from 1 species
UUUACAACAUAACUAAGAGUUUGAGACACUGAGAAGUCCAAGUACAAAAUUAAAUCUAAGUGUCUUAUAGAUUUAACAUUUCCAGUUCAUUUAAUACAAACUUGCUUCUAAAAUAUUUCUUUUUCUAGGCAAGCAGCAAGGUGUUUUCACUUGACAGAGAAGCAUAUCCCUCUUUAAAUGGCCUUCUUGGAGCAACACUUCAUAGCGUAACUCCAAACCAUAAUUUUUGCAAAAAGGGAUUCAAGAUUUGCAUUUGACAGCA